rnacentral:rRNA from 1 species
CUUGAUUAAAUGGAACGUGUAUCAUUUCCUAGCCAUUAUUCGGAUAUAUUUAUUAUAUCUUAUGGUAUUGGGUUUUGAUGAAAGCUUCUUGAUCAAAGUAUCACGAGUUUGUUAUAUAAUCGCAAACAAAUUUUUUAAUGAGAGAGUGCAUUUAUGUACUUUUGAUUUAAUAAUUUGGUAUAACUCCAAUUACUCAGGUAUGAUCCAAUUCAAG